rnacentral:tRNA from 3 species
UGGGCGAUCGUCCAAUGGUAGGACAUGCGGCUCUGGACCGUAGAAUCGGGGUUCGAAUCCCUGUCGCCCAG